GGGAGCUGCGGCGUUCAUUCAGGCAUGUGUCAUCUUUGUGCUCCCACUGUGUGGUUCGCGUCCGGUGGACUCUGGCAGCGGAAAGCAACAAAUCGCUGGCUGUUGCUGAGGUCCGGUGUUGGUGUGGUGACGGUGUCUUCCUCUUCUGCGUGCUGUGAUUCUGGAGUUUGGGUUGUCUCACUGCGUCUGGUGUUAAAGGAUUUUUUUUAUUUACUGUGUUUGGUGGAUGUCGUCCCCAUAGCGCCCCCUCCGGCCGGUAACCUCAGCUGCUGCAGCUCUUCUAUUUUCUUUGAUUUCCUUUGAUUUCUUUUGUUUCAUU